rnacentral:rRNA from 1 species
GACGAACGCUGGCGGCGUGCCUAAUACAUGCAAGUAGAACGCUGAAGGAGGAGCUUGCUUCUCUGGAUGAGUUGCGAACGGGUGAGUAACGCGUAGGUAACCUGCCUGGUAGCGGGGGAUAACUAUUGGAAACGAUAGCUAAUACCGCAUAAGAGUAGAUGUUGCAUGACAUUUGCUUAAAAGGUGCAAUUGCAUCACUACCAGAUGGACCUGCGUUGUAUUAGCUAGUUGGUGAGGUAACGGCUCACCAAGGCGACGAUACAUAGCCGACCUGAGAGGGUGAUCGGCCACACUGGGACUGAGACACGGCCCAGACUCCUACGGGAGGCAGCAGUAGGGAAUCUUCGGCAAUGGACGGAAGUCUGACCGAGCAACGCCGCGUGAGUGAAGAAGGUUUUCGGAUCGUAAAGCUCUGUUGUAAGAGAAGAACGAGUGUGAGAGUGGAAAGUUCACACUGUGACGGAU